rnacentral:tRNA from 1 species
GUGUCAAUGGGGUAGUGAUAACCUGCGUCGUUGCCAUUAGCCUGGUGGAAUUGAGUUUGUUGACCCAACGGGGGUUCGACUCCCUCUUGAUGCA